AACGCGAAGAACCUUACCUGGGCUCGAAGCACAGUGGACCGGGGUAGAAAUAUCCCUUUUCGCAAGAACUGCUGUGGAGGUGCUGCAUGGCUGUCGUCAGCUCGUGUCGUGAGAUGUUGGGUUAAGUCCCGCAACGAGCGCAACCCUUAUCGUUAGUUGCCAGCGGGUCAAGCCGGGCACUCUAGCGAAACCGCCCCGGAUAACGGGGAGGAAGGUGGGGAUGACGUCAAGUCCUCAUGGCCUUUAUGUCCAGGGCUACACACGUGCUACAAUGGUCGGUACAAACCGUCGCAAACCUGCGAAGGGGAGCUAAUCGGAAAAAGCCGGCCUCAGUUCGGAUUGGAGUCUGCAACUCGCCUGCGUGAAGCUGGAAUCGCUAGUAAUGGCGUAUCAGAAUGAUGCCGUGAAUACGUUCCCGGGCCUUGUACACACCGCGCAUA
rnacentral:rRNA from 1 species